rnacentral:rRNA from 1 species
AUUGAACGCUGGCGGCAGGCCUAACACAUGCAAGUCGAGCGGAUGAAGGGAGCUUGCUCCUGGAUUCAGCGGCGGACGGGUGAGUAAUGCCUAGGAAUCUGCCUGGUAGUGGGGGAUAACGUCCGGAAACGGGCGCUAAUACCGCAUACGUCCUGAGGGAGAAAGUGGGGGAUCUUCGGACCUCACGCUAUCAGAUGAGCCUAGGUCGGAUUAGCUAGUUGGUGGGGUAAAGGCCUACCAAGGCGACGAUCCGUAACUGGUCUGAGAGGAUGAUCAGUCACACUGGAACUGGGACACGGUCCAGACUCCUACGGGAGGCAGCAGUGGGGAAUAUUGGACAAUGGGCGAAAGCCUGAUCCAGCCAUGCCGCGUGUGUGAAGAAGGUCUUCGGAUUGUAAAGCACGUUAAGUUGGGAGGAAGGGCAGUAAGUUAAUACCUUGCUGUUUUGACGUUACCAACAGGAUAAGCACCGGCUAACUUCGUG